rnacentral:rRNA from 1 species
UACGUAGGGUGCGAGCGUUGUCCGGAAUUAUUGGGCGUAAAGAGCUCGUAGGCGGCUUGUCGCGUCGUUCGUGAAAACCUGUGGCUCAACUACAGGCUUGCGGUCGAUACGGGCAGGCUGGAGUUCGGUAGGGGAGACUGGAAUUCCUGGUGUAGCGGUGAAAUGCGCAGAUAUCAGGAGGAACACCGGUGGCGAAGGCGGGUCUCUGGGCCGAUACUGACGCUGAGGGGCGAAAGCGUGGGGAGCGAACAGG